GUUAAUGCAUUUUUCAAUGAUACGUAAGCAAGGUAUUUCGGGUCCUUUAUAG
rnacentral:tRNA from 1 species